AAUUGUGAUACUAAAUUUUCAUAUUUGCUACAUCCCUACACUCAACCACAGUGAGCAUUCCCUCGUGUUUUAAGCUUAUAGCACAAACACAUGCAUUCAACAUUAAAGAGAUUAGGCUACUCCAGUGUACCAUAGUAAUUCUUCUUUUUCCUUGGUUUGCUUACAAGAAAAGGCUGUUCUAUAUUUCUUUGAUAUGUAGGGUGUGUGAUCUCAUUGAGGAACAGUUUUUACUCCUUGACAAAUAAAUAUUUUAAAUCUUUAUCUAGGUGCUUGAGCGAACCUCACAACAAAUCCAGCAGCUGAGGCAGGGCCUGCAAGAGUCAAUGUUGUUGCCACUAUUGGAGGCCAGGCCAGAUGUUGCAGCUGUGAUUUUCCCAUGAUGGCUGAAUGUAGUGCCCAGAUGGUCCUUAAAAACAUAAUCUGGCCUGAAGAGGGGGAGCAGAAUGAGGAUGGAUGCUCAGUUGCUGCCAAAUCCUUAGUUGCUGGCUACCUGCGCCAAUUUGUGGAGAAAGUGACAGAAAACAAACGGAAGCAGUUGGUGAAAUUCUGGGUUGGCUGGGAGAUGCCCAUGCAGGACAUGCAAGUGAAAGUGGUACAGGCAGACCAUCCAACAUCUUCCACUUGCUUUCACAUCCUACGUUUGCCUAGUCACUACACAACUUAUGAUCAAUUCCAACACUGUUUGGAUAGUUGCAUUGCAACUAAUGACUCUGGCUUUGGACUAAUUUGAACUCUAAAACAUGAGCAUGUUUGGCUGCAUUAUGUUGUUAGGCCACAUUACAUAAAAUGUUUUUCAGCACCAA